rnacentral:lncRNA from 1 species
CCGCCAAUAAUAUUUAGGAAGGAUCUAUGAGUUUUAAUGACUGCGAAAAGUAAACACAUAUAUCAUCCCUUCCAGAUAGUUAUAAAAAGAACCAGGAUUAUAAUUUAGGACGCCAGACGCGCGUCUCGUCUACAUAAGACUCAUCAGUGACGAUUAUACCAAAAUAUUUAUAAAGCCAACCAAGUACAAAGUUAAAGAGCAUUG